UACACUCCUGCGGGAGGCAGCAGUGGGGAAUAUUGGACAAUGGGCGCAAGCCUGAUCCAGCCAUGCCGCGUGAGUGAUGAAGGCCCUAGGGUUGUAAAGCUCUUUCACCGGUGAAGAUAAUGACGGUAACCGGAGAAGAAGCCCCGGCUAACUUCGUGCCAGCAGCCGCGGUAAUACGAAGGGGGCUAGCGUUGUUCGGAUUUACUGGGCGUAAAGCGCACGUAGGCGGACUAUUAAGUCAGGGGUGAAAUCCCGGGGCUCAACCCCGGAACUGCCUUUGAUACUGGUAGUCUUGAGUUCGAGAGAGGUGAGUGGAAUUCCGAGUGUAGAGGUGAAAUUCGUAGAUAUUCGGAGGAACACCAGUGGCGAAGGCGGCUCACUGGCUCGAUACUGACGCUGAGGUGCGAAAGCGUGGGGAGCAAACAGGAUUAGAUACCCGUGUAGUCCA
rnacentral:rRNA from 1 species